GACGAACGCUGGCGGCGUGCCUAAUACAUGCAAGUAGAACGCUGAAGGAGGAGCUUGCUUCUCCGGAUGAGUUGCGAACGGGUGAGUAACGCGUAGGUAACCUGCCUGGUAGCGGGGGAUAACUAUUGGAAACGAUAGCUAAUACCGCAUAAGAGUAGAUGUUGCAUGACAUUUGCUUAAAAGGUGCAAUUGCAUCACUACCAGAUGGACCUGCGUUGUAUUAGCUAGUUGGUGAGGUAACGGCUCACCAAGGCGACGAUACAUAGCCGACCUGAGAGGGUGAUCGGCCACACUGGGACUGAGACACGGCCCAGGCUCCUACGGGAGGCAGCAGUAGGGAAUCUUCGGCAAUGGACGGAAGUCUGACCGAGCAACGCCGCGUGAGUGAAGAAGGUUUUCGGAUCGUAAAGCUCUGUUGUAAGAGAAGAACGAGUGUGAGAGUGGAAAGUUCACACUGUGACGGUAUCUUACCAGAAAGGGACGGCUAACUACGUG
rnacentral:rRNA from 1 species